rnacentral:rRNA from 1 species
AGCCGCUGCUUGAAGAGGGGCUCGCGGCCCAUCAGCUAGUUGGUAGGGUAACGGCCUACCAAGGCGACGACGGGUAGCUGGUCUAAGAGGACGACCAGCCACACGGGAAUUGAGAUACGGUCCCGACUCCUACGGGAGGCAGCAGUGGGGAAUCUUGGGCAAUGGGGGAAACCCUGACCCAGCGACGCCGCGUGGGGGAUGAAGGCUUUCGGGUUGUAAACCCCUGUUAGGUGGGACGAACGCCUCUUGAUAAAUAGUCAGGAGGUCUGACGGUACCACCAGAGAAAGCCCCGGCUAACUCCGUGCCAGCAGCCGCGGUAAUACGGAGGGGGCUAGUGUUGUUCGGAAUUACUGGGCGUAAAGGGCGCGCAGGCGGCUUGGCAAGUCGAGUGUGAAAUCCCUUGGCUUAACUAAGGAACAGCGCUCGAAACUACCUCGCUAGAGGACGGGAGAGGGAAGUGGAACUCUCGGUGUAGGGGUGAAAUCUGUAGAUAUCGAGAGGAACACCGGUGGCGAAGGCGGCUUCCUGGCCCGUAGCUGACGCUGAGGCGCGAAAGCUGGGGAGCAAACAGGAUUAGAUACCCUGGUAGUCCACGCCCUAAACGAUGGGCACUAGGUGUGGGCGGUAUUAAUCCCGCCUGUGUCGUAGCUAACGCAUUAAGUGCCCCGCCUGGGGUGUAUGGUCGCAAGGCUGAAACUCAAAGGAAUUGACGGAAGGGCACACCAGGUUUGGAGCCUGCGGCUUAAUUUGACCCAACACGGGGAAACUCACCAGGUCCAGACAUCGUAAGGAUUGACAGAUUGAGAGCUCUUUCUUGAUUCGAUGGAAAGUGGCGCAUGGCCGUUCUUAGUUGGUGGAUUGCUCUGUCUGGUUUAUUCCGUUAACGAACGAGACCUUAACCUGCUAAAUAGUUACGAGAAUCUCACAAUUGAUUCCUGGGUAAACUUCUUAGAGGGACUAUCGGUGACUAACCGAUGGAAGUUUGAGGCAAUAACAGGUCUGUGAUGCCCUUAGAUGUUCUGGGCCGCACGCGCGCUACACUGACAGAGACAUCGAGUUAGUAGCCUUGGUCCGGAAGGACUGGGUAAUCUUUUGAAACUCUGUCGUGAUGGGGAUAGAUCUUUGUAAUUAUCGAUCUUCAACGAGGAAUAUCUAGUAAGCGCGGUUCAUCAGAUCGCGUUGAUUACGUCCCUGCCCUUUGUACACACCGCCCGUCGCUACUACCGAUUGAAUGGUUUAGUGAGGUCUCGGGACUGGCUGGCUGUGGCACGCAAGUGCUGCGGUUGCUGGGAACUUGCUCAAACUUGAUCAUUUAGAGGAAGUAAAAGUCGUAACA